CUACGGGAGGCACCAGUGGGGAAUAUUGGACAAUGGGCGCAAGCCUGAUCCAGCCAUGCCGCGUGAGUGAUGAAGGCCUUAGGGUUGUAAAGCUCUUUUGUCCGGGACGAUAAUGACGGUACCGGAAGAAUAAGCCCCGGCUAACUUCGCGCCAGCAGCCGCGGUAAUACGAAGGGGGCUAGCGUUGCUCGGAAUCACUGGGCGUAAAGGGCGCGUAGGCGGCCGAUUAAGUCGGGGGUGAAAGCCUGUGGCUCAACCACAGAAUUGCCUUCGAUACUGGUUGGCUUGAGACCGGAAGAGGACAGCGGAACUGCGAGUGUAGAGGUGAAAUUCGUAGAUAUUCGCAAGAACACCAGUGGCGAAGGCGGCUGUCUGGUCCGGUUCUGACGCUGAGGCGCGAAAGCGUGGGGAGCAAACAGGAUUAGAUACCCCGGUAGUC
rnacentral:rRNA from 1 species